ensembl:snoRNA
UGACCCAACAGGAAUCUGGGUUCACUGUUACAAGGGGCACAAAACUCGGGGCCUUCCUAUGAACAAAUACCCUACAGGU